rnacentral:tRNA from 1 species
GGUCUUAUAGUUAAGUUAAUAUUGAAUUGCAAAUUCAAAGACGAAAAUUUUUAUUUCUAAGGCUU